AUGGAACCUCUGCUGCUUUUCCUGGCUCUGCUCGCCGCCCCCGGCUGUGUCUUCUCUGAGGUGCAGCUGGUUGAGUCCGGACCCGGCGCGGUGAAGCCCGGAGAGACCCUCACGCUGAGCUGCACCAUCAGCGGUUACUCCGUCACUAAUAGCUACUGGGACUGGGUCCGGCAGGCUCCGGGGAAAGGGCUGGAAUGGGUGGGACAGAUCGACUGGAGCGGCUCCAGCUGGCGGACAUACUACAGCCCGGCUGUCCAAAGCCGCGCAACGCUCAGCGCUGAUAAGUCCAAGAACCAGUUCUCCCUGCAGCUCCGUUCGCUGACAGCUGCAGACACCGCCACCUAUUAUUGCGCCAGAGGAAGACACAGCGACACAGCGCAACGCAGGGUCCGUACAAAAAGGGGAAGAGGAUUCCGAGCAGCGAGUUCCCAUUUCGGCAGUGCGGGCUGCACAGAUCAAUGCGAAUGGAAA